UUUUUUUUUUUUCUGAUAGAAAAAUACACUUUUCCUUUUAUACAUUCAGUGGUGGGGAACUCAUUUUCUCAGGAUAAGUGGGUAGACAACUCUGAUCUUUCCUGUUUUCUUCUCCCACUGAACGAAAUUCUGCCACUCUGAAAACUCUAUUUACUGAUCCUAAUUCUGAUAUGAAUUGAUAUCCAAUAUAGAAGUAGAUGUAAACCAGUAUAGGAUGGGAAAUGCCUAGAAUAUAACUUUGACAAGUCAUAGUCAUAUGGGUUCAUUUACAUGACCUAGAGCAUUCCAUUUGUGAUUAUUCCCACUGCUGUCCUUUCUGUAGUGCAAAUGAUGAGACUGACUCUCAAUAGACUGUCUUCCUAGGAGGCUGGUUUCACUGACUCUCAAUUAUCCUUUAUCAGGAUAAUUGCCCUCUAGCUAGAUAAUUUUAAAUAUAGUGUUCUGGCUUGGGAAACAAUGUUAUCAGGAAAUGAUAUUCUUAGCCCUAACAGGUUAUCUUUUCUAUAAUUACUAAUCUUCAAAAUACAUAGUCUUUGUUUUCUUCUUGGGGCAUAUGUUUAAUCUACAUAAUGAAGCCUUAUCACAUGAUUAUGGGAGAGAACGCCAGAAAGGGAAGUUUACUCUUGGGCAAAAACAUAUAUGAUUUAUCAGAAAAGGAUAUUGUCUCAAUGGUAAGAUUAAAUUUAUCUUUCAAUUUCUAAUUGCUUUGAAAUCUCCUAAAUCUUCCUAAAGUAUCGAUGUCAACUUCCCUUAUUUUGGUAUUAGUCUAGUAAUGAUCAUCAUAGUAGCUAACAUUUCUAUGUUAACUCUAAUAGUACCUAACACUUAUCAAAUGUACCUAGCACCAUUCUGGACUUAGAAGUAUGAAAUUAUUUAAUCUUCUUACCAGCCCUCCGAAUUAGGUAUUAGUGAUACCUACACUUUAAAAUGAAAGAAACCUAGGCGUAGAAGGGCUGAGUAAAUUUAGGCACUUUUCCUGGAGCCUGUGCUCAUGACCACAGUGUUAGAUCUUAAGAUUUUCACAUGGGUUCCCAUUUGGAUUCGGGUUGGAAAGCUUUAGUUAAUUGCCUGUGCAAGUAAGCUGAAACAAUUGUCUGAGUGUACACUAAAAACAUUGUGGAAAGAGGAAGAUAUAAUGAAUGAAAAAAAAAUCGUCAUUUUCUUGGAG
rnacentral:lncRNA from 1 species